GUUUGGGCAACGUCAAAUUAGAACCCCCGUGAAAGCGAAACAGAUGCGGAGACAGUGGAUUUACCUUGGGUACCUCUGAACUCCUAUUUAGCCCAGACUGUAAAGAGAAGGCUGCAGCUGGGAAUUGAAUGUUGAGCUCACUAACUUUGGGAUGUAGUUAUUGGGGUUGGCAGCUUGCCCACUUUGUAAAAUGGGACAUCGUGCCUUUGUCUUACCUUAUGG